rnacentral:rRNA from 1 species
GACGAACGCUAGCGGCGUGCUUAAUACAUGCCAGUCGAACGGAAAGGCCCUACUUUUGUGGGGUGCUUGUGUGGCGAACGGGUGAGUAACACGUGAGUAACCUGCCCUUGACUUUCGGAUAACUUCAGGAAACUGCGGCUCAUACCGGAUAGGAUCUCCUGCUGCAUGGUGGUGGUUGGAAAGUUUCGGCGGUUGGGGAUGGACUCGCGGGUUAUCAGCUUGUUGGUGGGGUAGUGGCUUACCAAGGCUUUGACGGGUAGGCGGCAUGGGAGGGUGACCGGCGACAUUGGGACUGAGGGACGGACCAGACUCCUACGGGAGGCAGCGGUGGGGAGUAUUGCGCAAUGGGGGGAAGCCUGAUGCAGAAACGCCGGGUGCGGGAUAACGGCCUACGGGUGGUGAACCGCUUUGGCCUGUGACGAAGCGUGAGUGACGGUAAUGGGUAAGGAAGCACCGGCUAACUACGUG